rnacentral:rRNA from 1 species
UACGGAGGAUCCAAGCGUUAUCCGGAUUCAUUGGGUUUAAAGGGUGCGUAGGCGGAAUGAUAAGUCAGUGGUGAAAGCCUGCAGCUUAACUGCAGAACUGCCAUUGAUACUGUCAAUCUUGAGUACAUUUGAUGUGGGCGGAAUGUGUCAUGUAGCGGUGAAAUGCUUAGAUAUGACACAGAACACCGAUUGCGAAGGCAGCUCACAAAACUGUAACUGACGCUGAGGCACGAAAGCGUGAGUAUCAAACAGG